rnacentral:rRNA from 1 species
UAUGCCUAGGGGCACAGCAGUGGGGAAUAUUGCACAAUGGGGGAAACCCUGAUGCAGCGACGCCGCGUGGGUGAAGGAGCGUUUCGGCGCGUAAAGCCCUGUCAGCGGGGAAGAAGAAAGACGGUACCCGACCAAGAAGCCCCGGCUAACUACGUGCCAGCAGCCGCGGUAAUACGUAGGGGGCGAGCGUUAUCCGGAAUUACUGGGUGUAAAGGGAGCGUAGACGGCGAGGUAAGCCUGAAGUGGAAGCCCGCGGCCCAACCGCGGAACUGCUUUGGGAACUGUUUUGCUGGAGUAUGUGUGGG